rnacentral:rRNA from 1 species
CCCGCCUGGGGAGUACGAUCGCAAGGUUGAAACUCAAAGGAAUUGACGGGGGCCCGCACAAGCGGUGGAUUAUGUGGUUUAAUUCGAAGCAACGCGAAGAACCUUACCAGGGCUUGACAUCCCGGUGACCGCUGUAGAGAUACAGUUUUCCCUUCGGGGACACCGGAGACAGGUGGUGCAUGGUUGUCGUCAGCUCGUGUCGUGAGAUGUUGGGUUAAGUCCCGCAACGAGCGCAACCCCUAUUGUUAGUUGCUACGCAAGAGCACUCUAGCGAGACUGCCGUUGACAAAACGGAGGAAGGUGGGGACGACGUCAAAUCAUCAUGCCCCUUAUGUCCUGGGCUACACACGUAAUACAAUGGCGGUCAACAGAGGGAGGCAAAGCCGUGAGGCAGAGCGAACCCCCAAAAGCCGUCCCAGUUCGGAUCGCAGGCUGCAACCCGCCUGCGUGAAGUCGGAAUCGCUAGUAAUCGCGGAUCAGCAUGCCGCGGUGAAUACGUU